rnacentral:rRNA from 1 species
AGCUCCAAUAGCGUAUAUUUAAGUUGUUGCAGUUAAAAAGCUCGUAGUUGGACUUCAGGCAGUCGGCGCCGGUCCGCCCCUAACAGGGUGUGCACUGGCGUCGUCCGCUUUGCUGCCGGGGACGGGCGCCUGGGCUUGACUGUCCGGGCCUCGGAGUCGGCGAGGUUACUUUGAGUAAAUUGGAGUGUUCAAAGCAGGCCUACGCCCUGAACACGUUAGCAUGGAAUAACACGAUAGGACUCUGGCCUAUCCUGUUGGCCUGUGGGACCGGAGUAAUGAUUAAGAGGGACGGUCGGGGGCAUUCGUAUUUCAUUGUCAGAGGUGAAAUUCUUGGAUUUAUGAAAGACGAACUUCUGCGAAAGCAUUUGCCAAGGAUGUUUUCA